GAUGAACGCUGGCGGCGUGCCUAAUACAUGCAAGUCGAGCGAACAGACGAGGAGCUUGCUCCUCUGACGUUAGCGGCGGACGGGUGAGUAACACGUGGAUAACCUACCUAUAAGACUGGGAUAACUUCGGGAAACCGGAGCUAAUACCGGAUAAUAUAUUGAACCGCAUGGUUCAAUAGUGAAAGACGGUUUUGCUGUCACUUAUAGAUGGAUCCGCGCCGCAUUAGCUAGUUGGUAAGGUAACGGCUUACCAAGGCAACGAUGCGUAGCCGACCUGAGAGGGUGAUCGGCCACACUGGAACUGAGACACGGUCCAGACUCCUAAGGGAGGCAGCAGUAGGGAAUCGUCCGCAAUGGGCGAAAGCCUGACGGAGCAACGCCGCGUGAGUGAUGAAGGUCUUCGGAUCGUAAAACUCUGUUAUUAGGGAAGAACAAAUGUGUAAGUAACUAUGCACGUCUUGACGGUACCUAAUCAGAAAGCCACGGCUAACUACGUG
rnacentral:rRNA from 1 species